AAGUGAGNGCAAGCGGGCAGAUCAUUUUUCCUUNUCCACCGAAUACAUUAGCAUGGGAUAAUGGAAUAGGACCCUGACCUCCUAUUUUCAGUUGGUUUUGUUUACAGCGAGGUUAUAUCAGGGUAAUGAUUAAUAGGGAUAGUUGGGGGCAUUAAUAUUUAAUUGUCAGAGGUGAAAUUCUUGGAUUUAUGAAAGAUUAACUUCUGCGAAAGCGUUUGCCAAGGAUGUUUUCAUUAAUCAAGAACGAAAGUUAGGGGAUCGAAGACGAUCAGAUACCGUCGUAGUCUUAACCAUAAACGAUGCCGACCAGCGAUUAGGAGACGUUGAAUACAAAACACCGCCGUUAAUCCUUUCGGGGGUUAAUGGUUGGUGAAUGACUCCCCUAGCAGC
rnacentral:rRNA from 1 species